UGAGUAGCUUAAGCAACAAACAUUUCUUUUCUCAUCGUUCUGGAGACUCGAAGUCCCAGACCAGUAUUGGUGCGACUUUCUUCCUGGGCUUUCUUCAUUGUUUGCGCUGUUUUUUAAAGUAACAUGGUCAACCUGAAGCUGCCAUGUCUCAUAUCGAGUAGUCUGUCUCUGUGGUGAAUGUAGAAGAUUUUUUUUUUUUUUAAAUCUUUCUUUGUCAUUUACUCUUCUGGCUCAGCCCCUCUGGCAACUCUUAGAGCAGGACCUGACACGUGUCCUGACACCACAGUUAGGAAGACUCUUUAUGCUCUGUGAUUGGGGUCAGCAAAAUUUUGCAUAAAGAGCCAGGAAGUAAUAAACAUUUUAGACUUUGCUGACCACAUAAGGUGUCUGUGUGUGUGUGUAUAUAUAUAUAUUUUUUCCACACACACGCACACACUUACAAGCCUUAUAUAUAUGUGUGUUGUGUAUAAAAUAACCCUUUAAGAGUGUAAAAACUCUUUUAGAGAGUAGGCCUUACAGAUAAGGGGCUCUCUUUGGUUUGCUGACUCUUGUUCAAUGAUAUAAUAAUAUCUUAACUUAGGGAUCCCUUCAUUUGAAAAGACAAUAAUUAUGAACAGCUUAAAAUCUGAACCAAGUUAUGACCGAUUGAACUUUAUAGCUUUCUAACCUCAAAGACUGAACAAGUCUAAACAUAGUCAGACAAAUGCUUUAGUUUGAUUUAUCUUUGCCUUUUUAAAAGUAAAUUGAACCUUAAGAAUAUAUAUUUCAAAGAUCCAAAAAAGAAAGAAGAAGCGUGCCAUCUUGAUGAUUUCCCGAAUAAUACUACUUUAAAAGACUCUGUUUCUGUUUAGUAACUGAUAGUACUUUGAACAGACCAUUUCUUUUUCUUUGGCACAGAUGUUUCUCUGUGAGAGAUGUUGUGUUGUACUUUUAAAGAUGCCCCAACAAAGUUGUGUUCUUUAGGAUGAAUGAUUAAAUGGGCAUUUCAGAUCAUGUGAAAAGACUUUAUUACUUGAGCGUCUUCUCUUUUUUUUCACUUAACAUCUCCUGAAACAUCCCAAAUAAAAUGCUUGCAGCUUUAAAAACUCCACAAAUUAUGUCAGGAUUCUUUUAAAUUCUUUCAAGGUAAGGUAGUCUAGCCAUCUCAAACAUCACUGAUUCUUAAUUCUAGCAAAACUGUUGCAGAGUAGGUAUUAUAAAAACAUUAUACUGAGCUUAAAAUAAAAAGAAUAUUAAGGAUAUUUCAAAAGCUGGCUUGCAACUCAAGCCUUCUUUCAGACUAUAGUAGAGUUCCCGUUUAUUCUUUCUUUCUCCCACUGAGAACAUUGAGUUCAAGUAAAUUGAUAAAAUUUCUUAGGCAAAAGGCAAUUUUGGAUACAAAUUGCUUUAUAGAAAUCCGUCUCAAAUGGACAAUUAGAAUACUUCGUAGUUAGUCUCUUGUGCUUCGUGUGGUACUUAUUUCCUAUUUCUAGGGUACAGACCCCUCCCCACCCCAGCCCCACCAAGUCCUAACCUCAGACUCCUUUUUUAGGCUUCUCUCUCACCACCACCACACCCUGCCCCCUUCUUUCAGAGAAACUCAAGUCAAGUAAAUUCAGAUUAACUGUGAUAAUGAUUGGUGAAGUUCAAUCCCUGGCCUCACUCAGUGGGUUAAGGAUCCAGCAUUGCCAUGAGCUGUGGUGUAGGUCACAGGCAUGGCUUGGAUCUUGGGUUGCCGUGACUGUGGUGUAGGCGGGCAGCUAUAGUAGCUCCAGUUCAACCUGGGAAAUUCCAUAUGUCGCAGGUGUGGCCCUUAACAGCAAAAAAAAAAAAA
ensembl:lncRNA